CCAGCACCCAACUUUACCACCCUCCCCCACCUCUCCCCCGAAACUCCAGCAACAAAGAAAAGUAGUCGGAGAAGGAGCGGCGACUCAGGGUCGCCCGCCCCUCCUCACCGAGGAAGGCCGGAGAACGCCCAUAUAAAUGUGAACUUUGUCCUUACUCAAGUUCUCAGAAGACUCAUCUAACUAGACAUAUGCGUACUCAUUCAGGUGAGAAGCCAUUUAAAUGUGAUCAGUGAGAGCCUACCUGGUCUUGCUGCUAAUAUCAACGAAUCUACCCAUAUUUCAUCCUCUGGACAAAACUUGAAUACGCCAGAGGGUGAAACUUUAAAUGGUAAACAUCAGACUGACAGUAUAGUUUGUGAAAUGAAAAUGGACACUGAUCAGAACACAAGAGAGAAUCUCACUGGUAUAAAUUCAACAGUUGAAGAACCAGUUUCACCAAUGCUUCCCCCUUCAGCAGUAGAAGAACGUGAAGCAGUGUCCAAAACUGCACUGGCAUCACCUCCUGCUACAAUGGCAGCAAAUGAGUCUCAGGAAAUUGAUGAAGAUGAAGGCAUCCACAGCCAUGAAGGAAGUGACCUAAGUGACAACAUGUCAGAGGGUAGUGAUGAUUCUGGAUUGCAUGGGGCUCGGCCAGUUCCACAAGAAUCUAGCAGAAAAAAUGCAAAGGAAGCCUUGGCAGUCAAAGCGGCUAAGGGAGAUUUUGUUUGUAUCUUCUGUGAUCGUUCUUUCAGAAAGGGAAAAGAUUACAGCAAACACCUCAAUCGCCAUUUGGUUAAUGUGUACUAUCUUGAAGAAGCAGCUCAAGGGCAGGAGUAAUGAAACUUUGAACAAGGUUUCAGUUCUUAGUUUG
rnacentral:sRNA from 1 species